UACGUAGGGGGCAAGCGUUGUCCGGAAUCACUGGGCGUAAAGCGCACGUAGGCGGAUCUUUAAGUCAGGGGUGAAAUCCCGAGGCUCAACCUCGGAACUGCCUUUGAUACUGGGGAUCUCGAGUCCGGGAGAGGUGAGUGGAACUGCGAGUGUAGAGGUGAAAUUCGUAGAUAUUCGCAAGAACACCAGUGGCGAAGGCGGCUCACUGGCCCGAUACUGACGCUGAGGCACGAAAGCGUGGGGAGCAAACAGG
rnacentral:rRNA from 1 species